rnacentral:rRNA from 1 species
GACGAACGCUGGCGGCGUGCCUAACACAUGCAAGUCGAACGGAACUGUUUUGAAAGAUUUCUUCGGAAUGAAUUUGAUUUAGUUUAGUGGCGGACGGGUGAGUAACGCGUGAGUAACCUGCCUUCAAGAGGGGGAUAACAUUCUGAAAAGAAUGCUAAUACCGCAUGACAUAUCGGAAUCACAUGAUUUUGAUAUCAAAGAUUUUAUCGCUUGAAGAUGGACUCGCGUCCGAUUAGUUAGUUGGUGAGGUAACGGCUCACCAAGACCGCGAUCGGUAGCCGGACUGAGAGGUUGAACGGCCACAUUGGGACUGAGACACGGCCCAGACUCCUACGGGAGGCAGCAGUGGGGGAUAUUGCGCAAUGGGGGCAACCCUGACGCAGCAACGCCGCGUGAAGGAUGAAGGUUUUCGGAUUGUAAACUUCUUUUAUUAAGGACGAAAAAUGACGGUACUUAAUGAAUAAGCUCCGGCUAACUACGUGCCAGCAGCCGCGGUAAUACGUAGGGAGCAAGCGUUGUCCGGAUUUACUGGGUGUAAAGGGUGCGUAGGCGGCUUUGCAAGUCAGAUGUGAAAUCUAUGGGCUCAACCCAUAAACUGCAUUUGAAACUGUAGAGCUUGAGUGAAGUAGAGGCAGGCGGAAUUCCCCGUGUAGCGGUGAAAUGCGUAGAGAUGGGGAGGAACACCAGUGGCGAAGGCGGCCUGCUGGGCUUUAACUGACGCUGAGGCACGAAAGCGUGGGUAGCAAACAGG